rnacentral:rRNA from 1 species
CUCGAGUGGCGAACGGGUGAGUAACACGUGGGUGAUCUGCCCUGCACUUCGGGAUAAGCCUGGGAAACUGGGUCUAAUACCGGAUAGGAGCCAUUUUUAGUGUGAUGGUUGGAAAGUUUUUUCGGUGUAGGAUGAGCUCGCGGCCUAUCAGCUUGUUGGUGGGGUAAUGGCCUACCAAGGCGGCGACGGGUAGCCGGCCUGAGAGGGUGGACGGCCACAUUGGGACUGAGAUACGGCCCAGACUCCUACGGGAGGCAGCAGUGGGGAAUAUUGCACAAUGGGCGCAAGCCUGAUGCAGCGACGCCGCGUGGGGGAUGACGGCCUUCGGGUUGUAAACUCCUUUCGCUAGGGACGAAGCUUUUUGUGACGGUACCUAGAUAAGAAGCACCGGCUAACUACGUGCCAGCAGCCGCGGUAAUACGUAGGGUGCGAGCGUUGUCCGGAAUUACUGGGCGUAAAGGGCUCGUAGGUGGUUUGUCGCGUCGUCUGUGAAAUUCCGGGGCUUAACUCCGGGCGUGCAGGCGAUACGGGCAUAACUUGAGUACUGUAGGGGUAACUGGAAUUCCUGGUGUAGCGGUGAAAUGCGCAGAUAUCAGGAGGAACACCGAUGGCGAAGGCAGGUUACUGGGCAGUUACUGACGCUGAGGAGCGAAAG